rnacentral:lncRNA from 10 species
UCGAGCACAAAACUCGAAGACAGCUGCCUGGGAAACAAAAAUUCCAAAGAAUGGACAUCAAUGUUCCAAAGGGUAGAAGUUUGGACUCAUUUUAUUAGACAAGGUUUGGGAAAAUAUAUUUAACACUCCACACUGAAUAUUUAACAGUCAUGGUAUCUUUGCUCCAGCUGAUCUAAACACAGGACAAUAAAAGACAUGGUUAAUCUACAACAAAGGUCAGUGAUUAAAAGGGGAGGAGGCAUGCCACUGCACUCCAGCCUGGGUGA